AAUUACCAGGGAAAGUAGACCCUAUUGAACCUGACAUCAAUACGACUUCGUGAGCAGACAUAGCUUACUCCGUAACUCGGGAAAAAUAUUUUGGUCCCAAGCACAUGACGGUAUUUAUGGUUCAACUGCAGGUACUGGUAUCUUGGUCAUGCCAAAUAAGUCGUGAACUCUGUCUUGAUUUUUGAGUUUGGAUGUGAUGUGUGACUUGUUCUGAUGGCAAUGAAAAGCGAGGAGUUUGAUUGGGGCAGUACACCUGUCAAACAGUAAUGUAGGUGUCUCACGGUGAGCCCAGUCAGUGUACGGAGUAAAAUGGAAAAAGUUUGCAUGAAUAAAAGCUUCAGUAAGAAUACAGACCAUAGAGGUGAGACAUAUAGAUCCUUUUGGUUUUGAUAUUCGAAGUUUGAAGCAAGAGGUGUCAAAUCAGUUGACACAGGGAUAAGUGACUUCUGGAAGUCAUUCGUUCAUAGCAACAAAAAAUUUUGAUCGUUUGAUGUCGGCUCCGCAUAGCAUUACGACGCAUGAUUAACCAAAUGUUGGAUUGUUCACCCACCAAUAGGGAACUAAAGCUUAUUUCAGGCAAUUGUGAGACAGGUCAGUUUAGUUAGUGACCUGAUUCAGUUUAAUACAGACUGGCCGUCACUAUGGCAGUUCUGUGCAGUACAGGAGGAGCCGCAGGUUUGAACACGUGCUACAUUUGCCUAGCCAAAAGGCUAAUGGUGCAAAGCUACUACCUGAAGGAUUAGGACUGAACUCUACCAAGUCUGAAUCCUGUCCGGAUGUGAAGAAGUACAUUUUGUAUCUAGUAUGUGACAAAUCUUGCCUACGCUUUCCUUUUAGUGAUUGGCCCAGACUACGUGUAUGACCAGGUUAAUGCCAGAGCAAUUACCGAAACCGUGCACCGGACCUCAGUGUGCGGAGGACGACGUGGUAUCCAAAUGUAGAAUGGGGACGAAGGGGCUAAUCUGUCAGUAGGUGACCCUUUUUUCGGAGAGGUGUAGGCGUUCGAGUAGCUAUCAUACUGUGAGACGUUCAGCCCUACUUAUAUAUGGUCU
rfam:Opisthorchis viverrini opera_v5_16.77, whole genome shotgun sequence.